GAGGUAGCCAACACUUUAUAUAUAUAUAUAUAUAUAUAUUUUAAUUGGGGUAGCCCCCAAAAUAUUGGGACAUAUAAAAAAAGACAACUCUGUUCCGCAGAGUAGCUGUUGACAUUAUAGUUGCGCAGGAACUUUGUUAUCUCUAGAGAACCUCUGGCAAAUCGCACAUCCCCGUGGCGGCGACUUUGCAUGCGGAUGUCAUAUAUAUCAACUUUCGAUGCCAAUUUCUGCGCCUACCAUAGUGACCACGGGUAACAGGGAAUCAGGGUUCCAUUCCAUACAGGGACCCUGAGAAACGGCUACCACAUGCAAAGAAGGCAGCAGGCGCGCAAAUGACCCAUCCCGACGCGGGAAGGUAG